UACAGAUUAUGGCUGCUGCUGCCAAAGCAUUGGUCCGUCUGUAUUGCUGAACGAUUGGGUUCAGGAAACGAAGCGACCACCUGUAACGGCGAUCGUGUGUAUAUUCCAAGGUAGUUGUCAGGCACUGUGAAUGGGUGGGUUGCAGUGCGCAAGUGAAAAGAUGAUGCAGGUGCUCCAGACAGAGACACAGGCUUGUUUCCUGCAGUGCUCAAUCUAGCUUCCAUGGCAGAGAUCUCUACCAAUGCCACCUGUGGUGAAAACAGCCCUGAAAUGGUAGAACAAGCUGGUAGAACAUGUUCCUGGGCAACCAGUGAGAAACUCUGUGCCGUACCUGUAACUUGGCCAGUAACAAUCCGUAUAUGUGGCCGAUUUGCUGUCAGGACAUGUUCCAAAGGGAGUAUAAUGUAAAAGGGAGUAAAAGCUGGCUGCCAGUGGCUCGUGUUGUGAAUUUAAAACAGGAUUAACCAGCAAAUCACAAUUCUCCAUCUCAAAUAAUUAAAAACAAAGAAAUGAAAAAUACACACAUGCAGAUGUUUGAUAUGUUUUCAGUAUUAAGAUGUUUACUUAUGCAUUGGUUGCAUUUGAGUGUCGAGAGCUAAAAAAAAAAUGAAAUCUCAACAAGAAAUUCCUAAUAAAUCCUGAACAUCAUCUAUAGUGGGUGUUUGAUUUGCUGAUGUGCCUGAACCUAAAAUAAUAAUUAUGUUCUGUUGGGUUGGCCUUCAACAUUGCCAGCUGUAAGAUUUGUUAUUGAGGGAUUAUUGAUUUAGUACUAUGUGAUAUGAGGCAAA